rnacentral:rRNA from 1 species
GACAGAGGAUGCAAGCGUUAUCCGGAAUGAUUGGGCGUAAAGCGUCUGUAGGUGGCUUUUUAAGUCCGCCGUCAAAUCCCAGGGCUCAACCCUGGACAGGCGGUGGAAACUACCAAGCUGGAGUACGGUAGGGGCAGAGGGAAUUCCUGGUGUAGGCGGUGGAAUGCGCAGAUAUCAGGAGGAACACCGAUGGCGAAGGCAGGUCUCUGGGCCACUACUGACGCUGAGAAGCGAAAGCAUGGGGAGCGAACAGG